rnacentral:lncRNA from 1 species
GGCUAGGGGUCUAACCGGAGCUGUAGCCACCGGCCUAUGCCACAGCCACAGCAACUCGGGAUCUGAGAUAUGUGUGUGACCUUCACACAGCUCACGGCAAUGCCAGAUCCUGAACCCACUGAGUGAGGCCAGGGGUCGAACCCACAACCUCAUGGUUCCUAGUCGGAUUCGUUAACCAUUGAGCCCCGACAGGAGCUCCCAGGUGUUUCUGAAUUUAGUAAAACGCCAGUCCAGUGUCUCCUGAAAGGAAACUAUAUGAGUUGGUUUGCCUUGUAGAAAGAUCUCUCUGGGGCCAAUGCAGUGAUUGUGCUGGAGACAUGCUAGUCUCUUGUGAUUCCAGAUAGAGACGAUGAGAGACCCUGGAGAUGGGACAUAAGCAGUGGGGAAAUAAUUGAAACAUCUGAGUGAUAAUAUUCAUGAGACUAAGCCACGUUUCCUGAAUAUUUGUUCAUGGUGGGGAAACUGGAAUUCAAACCCAGGGAUGUUGAUAUGGCUUCUGUGGUCAACUCUCAGUGGUCGAUGUUGGACAUCUGAGCACACUGGCUAAAGUAACUUUAGGUUUGUGUGUGUGUGUGUAGGGGGGUGUUUGUUUGACAUCUGCAGGUCCUCAGGCGUGGGUCCUUUACCACUCUUCUUAUUUUCAAAUUCAGUGUGCCCAGAGCAUGUUCAGGCAGUCUCUCUACCGCAAAUGCAUGGAUUUUGUCCUAAGGGCUUUCUUUUCCUCGCUUUCGGACUUGGUCCCCCUUCUGCAAGGAAGAGGGCCAGGGCAGCAUCAAAGCUCUAGUCUUCCACUUGGUGAAGAAGGGGAGUGUUAAUCGUACAAGUUAUGAGACCCUAGCAGGUUACUUCCAAUUUCUGGACCUCAGGUUUAUUAUCGAAAAUUUUUAUUUAAAUCAGGGUUUCUUGCUGUGACACUCUCCACAUUUGGGGAUGACUUUUUCUUGUUGUAGGGGGGCUGUCGUGUUUAUUGUAAGAUGUUGAGCAGCAUCCCUGGAUUGUUUCAGUAUUGACAACCCAAAAUGUCUCUAGACAUUGCCAUGUGUCCACUGGUGAAAACCAUUGCUCUUGGAGUUUCCACUGUGGUGCAGUGGGUUAAGAACCUAACUGCAGAAGUUCAGGUUGAUGCACAGUUGUGGGAUUGAUCCCUAGCCUGGGAACUUCCAUAUGCCACAGGUACAGCCAUAAAAACAAAAUAAAACAAAAACGUUGCAAAGUUCCUGUCAUGGCUCAGUGGUUAACGAAUCUGACUAGGAACCAUAAGGAUGCGGGUUUGAUCCCUGGCUUUGCUCAAUGGGUUAAGGAUCCAGCAUUGCCAUGAGCUGUGGUGUAGGUCACAGACGUGGCUCGAAUCUGGCAUUACUUUGGCUGUGGUGUAGGCCAGCGGCUAUAGCUCCGAUUCGACCCUUAGCCUGGCAACCUCCAUAUGCCAUGGGUGUGGCCUAAAAAAGACAAAAAAAAAAAAAAAAAAAAAA